GCCUGGGUAGCUCAGUGGUUUGAGCUUUGGACUUCUGCUCAGGUUAUGACCUCACGGUUGGUGGGUUUGAGCCCCACAUCAGGCU
rnacentral:tRNA from 1 species